rnacentral:rRNA from 1 species
GCGCGAAAACUUUACAAUGCUGGCAACAGCGAUAAGGGAACCUCGCGUGCCAGGUUACACAUCUGGCUAUCGAGAUGCCUAAAAAGCAUUUCAUAGCAAGGGCCGGGCAAGACCGGUGCCAGCCGCCGCGGUAACACCGGCGGCUCGAGUGGUAACCGUUAUUAUUGGGUCUAAAGGGUCUGUAGCCGGCCUGAUAAGUCUCUUGAGAAAUCUGGCAGCUUAACUGUCAGGCUUUCAGGAGAUACUGUCUGGCUCGAGGCCGGGAGAGGUGAGAGGUACUUCAGGGGUAGGGGUGAAAUCUUGUAAUCCUUGAAGGACCACCAGUGGCGAAGGCGUCUCACCAGAACGGACCUGACGGCAAGGGACGAAAGCUAGGGGCACGAACC